AAGUCGUAACAAGGUUUCCGUAGGUGAACCUGCGGAAGGAUCAUUACCAUGGGGACACUCGGUGUCGCACACAUUCCCGAGCAGACGUGGUGCGGCUCCGUGCCACGUCAGGGACCGGCUCGGUCUAGCGCCGUCCCCUGCCGCCAAGCAGGAGCUCAGUCCCAUCGGGACGAAAGGACGGACUGGUGCUUUCGCAUCCAACCUGUGCUUGAAAAGGAACACACAACAGCAGAACAACUGCAAACGGUGGAUCACUCGGCUC
rnacentral:misc_RNA from 1 species